UGGAAGGCUCCCCUGCUGAGCAAUUCCACUACACUGACAGGUGCUUCAGAGAGACUGGGAGUGAUUUACAGCUUUGCGCUUCCACUCAGCCAGAUAGACAGCAGUCCAAUGAGGCCCUUGUGAGUCCUGCAUCAUGCACCUGCCCUGAAGCGUGGACAGCAGCACCAUCAGCACCGUCUGUUUCUCUAUUUAUUAUCUACCUGAAAAGAAGUAUUCCCCACAACAUCACACCACCACCACCACCACCAUUGCCAUCAGACUGAACUGUUGACACAAGGCAGGUUGGGUCCCUGGAUUAUAAAAGGUUACUGUUACUGUAGCUAUCCUGUCAGCUCAAAUGAGUUUGACCAUUCUCCUCUGACGUCUCCCAUCAACAAGGUGUUUCUUCCUGCAGAACUGCCGCUCAGUGGAUCUUAUCUUCCCACCCCACCCCCAUACACACACACACAUACACACACACACACACACACACACACACACACACACACACACACACACACACACACACACACACACACACACACACACACACACACACACACACACACACACACACACACACACACACACACACACACACACUCUCUAA